rnacentral:lncRNA from 1 species
UAUUUUGCCAUAAUGAAUAACAAGAUUAGUAAGGUAAAAAUGCUAGUAAGAAUUGGGGCACAAGAUUUUCUUCAGAUAACCUGUUAAAAAUAAAAUCAAUAUAUUCAAUACAGCUUACAGAUAUAUUGGAAAGAUAGCACAUGAGAAUAUAAAAUGGAACACCAGCAGUUAGUUGAAUGAAUCCAUGAAUUCCAUGGCAAAAGCUCUAUUAAGCAUAAUAAACAGAAGGAUCAGAAUUCUACAAAAGGCAAAGUAGCCACUUCCUAUCCCACAUUGAAUACCACAAUCUGUAUUCCAACAAUUAAACCAGGACUUGAAUCAAUGCUAGCUUAAAAAUUUAAUUUUCUCUGUGGCUUAUAUAUAAAUGGAUCAGAUAAAUAAAGGAGACCAGGAAAUUUCACCCCAAAAUAUGGCACCCUGGUAUGCUGAUUAUUUUAAAUUAAAGGCCCUUGGAGACUGGCAGAUACUAGAAGAAGCUUUACUCUGAUACUCCCUUAUCUGCUUAAACUCCAGACUCUUCAAAGAAGAAAAUUACCACUGGUCCUUUCCUUGAGUUUUCAUUAACUCAUACUGCAGGAAUAAAGACUGAAGUCUGUCAACACACCUGGACAGAACCACUGUCUUCUCUGUGGGCCCACAAGGCUUUGUCUCAGGAUGCACGAGGACGUAUGUCUCAAGACGUAUGUUCUCCAAGCCCAUUGAAUUCCCCUAAAAAUCACUUUUCACCUUAAAAUUAUCCACAUCUCCCUUUCCUCUGUGAAGAGUAUAUAAGCUUCUGUACCCCCACUGCACUAUUGUAUAAACAAUCAUUCUCUUGUAAUUCCCUUGUGCUAUGCACGAUAAAAUUAAUUUUGCAUGCCUCUGCUAUUAAUCGGCCUUUCUUCAGCUGAUCUUCAGCAAACCUUCAGAGGCAGAAGGGAAAAUUUUCCCUUGGCCCCUAUAUUAACUUAGAAAACAUAAUUUGACUACAUCCCCCAUACCUCUUCAUAGUAGCCUGAAUGGUGGCCCACAAAAAGAUAUGCUUAUGUCCUAAUGCCUGGGAAUCUGUGAAUGUUACUUUAUUUAGAGACAGUCUUUACAGAAGUAAUUAAAUUAAGAACUUUGAAAUAAGAAAAUCAUACUAGAUAAUCCAGGCAGGUCCUAAAUCCAAUGACAAGUGUUUUUAUAGGAGAGAGGCAGAGGGAGUUUAAAAAUAAACACACAGAGUAAAGUGACACACAGAAAAGUAAAAGGCCAUAUGAAGCUGGAGGCAGAAACUGGACUGAUGAUGCCUCAAGCCAAGGAAUGUCAGCAACCACAGAAGCUGUAAGGGGUAAGUUACUGAUUCUCCCCUAAAGCCUCUGCAGGGAGAACAGCUCCAAAGACAUUUUGAUUUCAGACUUCUGAUCUCCAGAACUGUUAAGUGAAUAAAUUUCAAUUGUUUUAAGCCACCCAGCUUGUGGUAAUUUGCUACCGCAGCCACAGGAAAUAAAUAUACCCAUUACAAAUUCCAGUAAUUACUUGAGAAGUAUUGAUUUAAUUAAAUAAAAAACAUUAUUUUGAAAGGCCAUCCAUCCCUUAGCUUAGAA